AUCUGCUAUGCGAGUGAGUGUGUUUUUCCAUGUCUGAUGUGUUGUGGCUGGUCUGUUAGGUACCGCGUCCAAACCAGUAGCUGUGCAACACCAUACACCAACACCAACAGUAAAAUACCACAGUAAAGAUAGUUUGUGGUUUAAAAUUCAGAUAUUAUUUGGAUGUCAUACUUCAUGAUCUGUGAAUUCAGGUGAUGUGCUCCUCUGGUGAGAAAUCUGCUUUAUUCAUAGCAACUCUUAAUUUUUAUAAUAAUAAGAUGAUAUGAUAAUAAUAAUUCCUUACAUUUAUAUAGCACUUUUCUGGGUACUCAAAGCGCUUUUACAUAUGGAAGCUAAACCUUGCUUGGGGUAUUCUCCACGUGCCUGCCCAUGUUAUAGUUCUGUCUAUGACUGCCUCCCAGGUUGUCCAAUUGCCCCGACAUUGCUGACUCACUGCUUUGAUCUUAUAGUUUUCCUUCUCCAUCUUAAUAACCUCUGAGAUCACCAGGUUUCCCUUCUCCUUUUUUGUGGCUUUGGACCACAACUUGUGAGUCAUUCCCCAUCCAAGGCCAGCCCUGCCUGUCUGCACCCACCCAACAAUCUCCUGAUGUUUUAGCUGGUUGAUGGCCCGAUCUACUACUUUUGCUGCACUGCACUUUUGUCCAAAAUGGAAUUUAACCUUGGAGUUGUGGACAGUCGGGUCAGUGUGGAGGCACCUCAUGCAGAGACCGGCCAUACUGACCAUUCAAUUGACAGACUGGCGAGGAGCUCUGCCACAGAGACCAGUUCUUGUUAGGGAAACUCUGCCCAUCCUUCGGUGAUCAUCAGAGUGACGAGGAGUACGAGGAGAACCGCCGAUCUCAUCCUGAGAACAAGAGAAUUAGAGCUUCAAUGAGUUGUUAAUAAGAUAAUGAACACAAGCUAAUGAACAGCUUCUACAACAAGGUUGCAUGAUUUUCUGAAUAUAUCUAAUAAUAAUAAUAUUUUAUUAAAGGCCCACUGAAGUGCCUUGGAACACACAGCUUUAUUCAUUGUGUUGAUGUAAUUUCCAAUGAAACAUGUAAAUAGGUAGCUUCUAG